rnacentral:rRNA from 1 species
AUGCAGUCGUCGUCGCCAAAACGCGUCGAAUCCACAGGGAGCGCUUGGAGUACAACUGACGACCCACUGUUCGUCUUCUACGGCGACGGAGAGGGCGAUGCGAUCCAGCAGGAAGAGCCUCGGGCGGUUCCUCAUAACCAAGAGCUGGAUCAGAAAGCUGACCGAGUUCCAGCAGAAGAAGGAUUCAGUGAUUACGAUCCAGCAAUCCCUGACCAGUCCACACACAGCAAUGGUGACUCCGCCGUGGUGUCUGCGUCCGGAGUAGUUGACACCAGCGGAGAGGAUGGUCCUGACGAUGAGAAGGAGGUUAGCAGCCAGCCCACUAAACGGCGGCGUACAGUCGAAUAA